AGAGUUUGAUCCUGGCUCAGGAUGAACGCUAGCGGCAGGCUUAACACAUGCAAGUCGAGGGGCAGCGGGGAGGAAGCUUGCUUUCUCCGCCGGCGACCGGCGCACGGGUGAGUAACACGUAUGCAACCUGCCCCUGUCAGGGGGACAACCCGCCGAAAGGCGGGCUAAACCCGCGUACAUGCCACCGGGGCAUCCCGGAGGCAGGAAAGGCUUCGGCCGGACAGGGAUGGGCAUGCGGCGCAUUAGGCAGUAGGCGGGGUAACGGCCCACCUAACCGACGAUGCGUAGGGGUUCUGAGAGGAAGGUCCCCCACACUGGUACUGAGACACGGACCAGACUCCUACGGGAGGCAACAGUGAGGAAUAUUGGUCAAUGGUCGGGAGACUGAACCAGCCAAGCCGCGUGAGGGAGGAAGGUACAGAGUAUCGUAAACCUCUUUUGUCAGGGAACAAAGGCGGGGACGUGUCCCCGGAUGAGUGUACCUGAAGAAAAAGCAUCGGCUAACUCCGUGCCAGCAGCCGCGGUAAUACGGAGGAUGCGAGCGUUAUCCGGAUUUAUUGGGUUUAAAGGGUGCGCAGGCGGUCUGUUAAGUCAGCGGUCAAAGCCCGGGGCUCAACCCCGGCCCGCCGUUGAAACUGGCAGUCUCGAGUUGGAGAGAAGUAUGCGGAAUGCGCGGUGUAGCGGUGAAAUGCAUAGAUAUCGCGCAGAACUCCGAUUGCGAAGGCAGCAUGCCGGCUCCACACUGACGCUGAGGCACGAAAGCGUGGGUAUCGAACAGGAUUAGAUACCCUGGUAGUCCACGCAGUAAACGAUGAAUGCUGGCUGUCCGGGGGGGGAUUGAACCCCUUGGGUGGGCGAACCCGAAACCAAUAAGCAUUCCACCUGGGGGAGUACGCCGGCAACGGGUGAAACUCAAAGGAAUUGACGGGGGGCCCGCACAAGCGGAGGAACAAUGUGGUUUAAUUCGAUGAUACGCGAGGAACCUUACCCGGGCUCAAACGGGGAGUGACUCAGGCAGAGACGCCUGUUUCCCACGGGACACUCCCCGAGGUGCUGCAUGGUUGUCGUCAGCUCGUGCCGUGAGGUGUCGGCUUAAGUGCCAUAACAAGCGCAACCCCCGCGUGCAGUUGCUAACAGAUAACGCUGAGGAUCUCUGCACGGACUGCCGGCGCAAGCCGCGAGGAAGGCGGGGAUGACGUCAAAUCAGCACGGCCCUUACGUCCGGGGCGACACACGUGUUACAAUGGGUGGUACAGCGGGAAGCCAGGCGGCGACGCCGAGCGGAACCCGAAAUCCACUCUCAGUUCGGAUCGGAGUCUGCAACCCGACUCCGGGAAGCUGGAUUCGCUAGUAAUCGCGCAUCAGCCAUGGCGCGGUGAAUACGUUCCCGGGCCUUGCACUCACCGCCCGUCA
rnacentral:rRNA from 1 species